GUCAAGUUAGUUUAUAAAAAACGUCAGCCUGUGGAUUUGAAGAAGAAACAUUACUUUCACUUGACC
rnacentral:tRNA from 1 species